rnacentral:rRNA from 1 species
UGCCUAACACAUGCAAGUCGAGCGGAUUAUUUCGGUGUAGCAAUACAUCGGAAUAGUUAGCGGCGGACGGGUGAGUAACACGUAAACAAUCUACCUCCGAGACUGGGAUAACCCGCCGAAAGGUGGGCUAAUACCAGAUGAGGCUCCGGAAACGCAUGUUUCUGGAAUCAAAGGGAACGCAAGAACCGCUUGGAGAUGAGUUUGCGGCCUAUCAGCUAGUUGGCGGUGUAAAAGACCACCAAGGCGACGACGGGUAGCUGGUCUGAGAGGACGACCAGUCACACUGGAACUGAGACACGGUCCAGACUCCUACGGGAGGCAGCAGUGAGGAAUUUUCCGCAAUGGGCGAAAGCCUGACGGAGCGACGUCGUGUGUGGGACGAAGGUCUUCGGAUUGUAAACCAC